rnacentral:rRNA from 1 species
UGGCGGCGCGCUUAAUACAUGCAAGUCGAACGAGAAGCCAGAGCUUGCUCUGGUGGAAAGUGGCGAACGGGUGAGUAACACGUGAGAAACCUGCCCCAAAGAUUGGGAUAAGCCUUGGGAACGAGGUCUAAUACCAAAUACCUUCUUUUUAACACAUGUUAAAAAGAGAAAUGCUCCGGCGCUUUGGGAUGGUCUCGCGAUCUAUCAGCUUGUUGGUGAGGUAACGGCUCACCAAGGCAUCGACGGAUAGCUGGUCUGAGAGGAUGUCCAGCCACAUUGGAACUGAGACACGGUCCAAACUCCUACGGGAGGCAGCAGUAGGGAAUCUUGCACAAUGAGGGAAACCUUGAUGCAGCGACGCCGCGUGCGGGACGAAGGCCCUAGGGUUGUAAACCGCUUUCAGUAGGGACGAAAGUGACGGUACCUACAGAAGAAGCCCCGGCCAACUAUGUG